UGAAACAAGGGAUGAAUUAACGGGGCCAAAACGGGGGCCGAAUCUCACAACCUUCUUUUGAUUUUCAAUGGUAAUAAGUAAUGUGCCUUAAACAAUUGUUUAAAGGGAGAACCUGGGCGGAAGGUGAAGGAUAAUCAGGGUAUGAAAUCCUCUUUCGCUAAACAGUUGGUAGUCUGCCAUCCCAAAAUUUUCUGUGUCUUCACUUCCAAACCAACAAAAGCUAUCAAUCUCUUCUCACCCUUAUUGUUUUCUUCAAGUGGCUUAUUAAAUUCUCUCAAUUUUCGCUUUUUCACAUCUGAAAACGGUUUACCUAAUUACCCUUCACACAAAUCGAAUUCAAGCAAAGAUGUCUCAACUAAUGGAUACGACGUCGGCGAUAAAGGUACAUCUACUCUUUCUCUAUGUGUUCUUUUUUGUUGUUUGUUUGUAAUCUGUGAAUUGAGUGUACCUAAUGUUUAAUUGCAAAUUAAAUGUUGAAAAGGGGACCAAAAAAGGUGGAAUAACAAAAAUAAAUGAUUUUUAGAUAUUUGUAGUUGUUCAUAUGACUUUUUGUGUUCUGAUUAUUUCCUUUUUAUUCAUAUGUAUUUCAUUGUUCAUUAUCAUGUUAAAUUUUAUCUCAGUUUUUCCAGCUUGGUUUAAAUUCAAUACUCGAUAAUUCUUGCAGUAUUUUAACAGACACAUGAAAAUUCCUGCUAGUAGGCUAAAAAGGCAACUCAUUGGUCUUGAUUAUGUUAUAUAAUAAUGGUACUCUUUGGUGGCCUUUCAGCAUGUUACAAAGUUACACCUAGAUGUUGAUAUUCAAAAUCUGAUAGCUCCCCAGCAACUCAAGUAUGUGAGAGUUUUUAAAAGCUGGUAUUUAUCAUGUUUAAAAUGUUGAUGGGGUUGUCCUGCGAAGGCUGUCUGACUUCUACUUUAGUUGAGUUGUUUGAAUAUUAUGGAUAAAAAGAAAUUUAUGUAUGAUAUGAAAUAAAUAACGUGUAAGUUGUGCAUAUGUUCAGGGCUCCUAGUUAUACGUCUUCUCACGUGUCCUUUAUAAACUUGUACAUUAUUGUUCAUAAAUGAAUUUGUUAGGGUUCCCCUGAAACUCUCUCAUUUAACUCAUGAGUUAUCACAUUCUGUUACCUCAUAGGUGACACACACAGAUAGGAAUUAGAUGAAUUUCAAUUUCCCAAGUAGGGUAAGAAGGAAAUUUUUAUCAAUGGAAAGUAAUCAUACAAUGAUGAGGAUGUUAUUGUCGUUGUUGUUGUUGUUGUUAUUAUUAUUAUCAUCAUUUAUUUUUUAUUUUUUGGUAUUUAAUUCAUAAGUUACCAUGUGGUGCAAAAUAUUAAGAACAUAACACUACUAGUGAAGUUAUCGAUCGUGUAUAGAAAUUUUCCUUAUAAAACUCGUGAAAAUGAUUCUCAAUAGGCAGAGUUUUGCUUUAAACAAUGUCUUGCAUUGUUGCAAAGAUAUGAAAGGCAAAGAUUCUUUUUAUUUUUAUUUAAUUCAAUGGGCAGAAAUUUUCUAAAAGUUACACCACUAACAAUUACUUUUACAUGAGAAAAUUGAAUUUUUUUUUCAAGUGCUGUGCAGAUGAGAUUACCUAUUACUAUAUGUUGAUGGCACUAACAUAUCCAUCCUCUUCCAAUUCAG
rnacentral:lncRNA from 1 species